GUAGGUGGCAAGCGUUGUCCGGAAUUAUUGGGCGUAAAGCGCGCGCAGGCGGUUCUUUAAGUCUGAUGUGAAAGCCCACGGCUCAACCGUGGAGGGUCAUUGGAAACUGGAGAACUUGAGUACAGAAGAGGAAAGCGGAAUUCCACGUGUAGCGGUGAAAUGCGUAGAGAUGUGGAGGAACACCAGUGGCGAAGGCGGCUUUCUGGUCUGUAACUGACGCUGAGGCGCGAAAGCGUGGGGAGCAAACAGGAUUAGAUACCCUGGUAGUCCACGCCGUAGACGAUGAGUGCUAAGUGGUUUAGGGGGUACUCGCCCCCCUUAGUGCUGCAGCUAACGCAUUAAGCACUCCGGCCUGGGAGUACGGCGCAAGGCUG
rnacentral:rRNA from 1 species